rnacentral:ribozyme from 15 species
CAAACAACAACGAGACAAGAAAAGAAGAGACAAACAAACAACGACUUUUAUUGGGUCAGCCUGAUUGUUUGAUUCUUUCUUUCUCUCUCUCUCUCUCUCUUUGCUUUUUCUA